CACUUGUUAGAUCCACUUCAAUCAGUGUAGAUGAAGGGAAGGAGACAGGUUAAAGAAGGAUUUUUAAGCCUUGAAACAAUUGAAACAUGGAUUGUACUACAGCAUUGAAACCUGCAGGGGAACCACAUCUCAGUAGUACCAGAGGUGUUACCAAGGAACCUGCAACAGAAGGGGUAUUUGCAACACCAGCAGGUGUCUCUCAAACAAAAUUGUGAUGAACAGGACUUCAGGAAUCCCCCUGUCUCUGAGGGGUAGGAGACUGAAUACAUUAAUGGAUGUGUGGUCAAUCCAAAAAACGAUUCCCCCACUCACAUAUUCCUUGACACUGGGGCUGAGGACAGAGAGGAAUUGUAUGGAGUAUACGGUUUGCCACCACCAGAGCUUUGUUUCCUCAAUGUGGCUGACAAUAAGAUUGUCGAGGAAGAAGCAGUGUCUGUAGCUGUGUUCGUCCUAUGCUCAGUGAGAUUGUUAUUCACUCCAACCCACUGACCACACAGAAGUGGUGCCCCCCUACUGCUGACUUACUUCCUCCAGGAAAGGCUGGGUAUUAGAAUUAGGUGCAAGAAGACAUCAGGGGCUGGUUUCCAAGACACAGAUUAAGCCUUGACUAAAACACAUCCUCAAUAGAGAAUCUCCAUUGAAAGUCCUUUUUAGUCCAGGACUAGGCUUUAUCUGUGUCUAGGAAACUGGCGCCAGAAGUUGUGAAACCCCCUUUGAUAUUAUGUAUUGACUCAAAACGAAAGGUUCAAAUGCAAUUUUUGUAAUAAUAAAAAAAAAUGUAUCCACAUUUUGGCUUUGCAUUCAACUGGAAAGUUAAAUAUGACUGCACAUUAUUUUAAUUUCAGUAUUUUUCAAACACGCUACAUUUUGGUCUAACAGUGACUCACUUUUCAUAUUGAAACUAAUUGAUGAACAUUUUAUCUUUCUCUUUAG
rnacentral:lncRNA from 1 species